UUAUCGGAGAGUUUGAUCCUGGCUCAGGACGAACGCUGGCGGCGUGCCUAAUACAUGCAAGUCGAGCGGACAGAUGGGAGCUUGCUCCCUGAUGUUAGCGGCGGACGGGUGAGUAACACGUGGGUAACCUGCCUGUAAGACUGGGAUAACUCCGGGAAACCGGGGCUAAUACCGGAUGGUUGUCUGAACCGCAUGGUUCAGACAUAAAAGGUGGCUUCGGCUACCACUUACAGAUGGACCCGCGGCGCAUUAGCUAGUUGGUGAGGUAACGGCUCACCAAGGCGACGAUGCGUAGCCGACCUGAGAGGGUGAUCGGCCACACUGGGACUGAGACACGGCCCAGACUCCUACGGGAGGCAGCAGUAGGGAAUCUUCCGCAAUGGACGAAAGUCUGACGGAGCAACGCCGCGUGAGUGAUGAAGGUUUUCGGAUCGUAAAGCUCUGUUGUUAGGGAAGAACAAGUGCCGUUCAAAUAGGGCGGCACCUUGACGGUACCUAACCAGAAAGCCACGGCUAACUACGUGCCAGCAGCCGCGGUAAUACGUAGGUGGCAAGCGUUGUCCGGAAUUAUUGGGCGUAAAGGGCUCGCAGGCGGUUUCUUAAGUCUGAUGUGAAAGCCCCCGGCUCAACCGGGGAGGGUCAUUGGAAACUGGGGAACUUGAGUGCAGAAGAGGAGAGUGGAAUUCCACGUGUAGCGGUGAAAUGCGUAGAGAU
rnacentral:rRNA from 1 species